UACGGGGGGAGCAAGCGUUGUUCGGAUUUACUGGGCGUAAAGGGCGCGUAGGCGGCCACCGCAAGUCAAUUGUGAAAUCUCCGGGCUCAACCCGGAACGGUCAACUGAUACUGCGGGGCUAGAGUGCAGAAGGGGCAACUGGAAUUCUCGGUGUAGCGGUGAAAUGCGUAGAUAUCGAGAGGAACACCUGCGGCGAAGGCGGGUUGCUGGGCUGACACUGACGCUGACAGCGCGAAAGCUAGGGGAGCAAACGGG
rnacentral:rRNA from 1 species